rnacentral:tRNA from 2 species
AGCCCGAUCGUCUAACGGUAGGACAGCGCCCUUUGGAGGCGUACGUGGUGGUUCGAAUCCUCCUCGGGCUA